GAUGAACGCUGGCGGCGUGCCUAAUACAUGCAAGUCGAGCGAACGGACGAGAAGCUUGCUUCUCUGAUGUUAGCGGCGGACGGGUGAGUAACACGUGGAUAACCUACCUAUAAGACUGGGAUAACUUCGGGAAACCGGAGCUAAUACCGGAUAAUAUUUUGAACCGCAUGGUUCAAAAGUGAAAGACGGUCUUGCUGUCACUUAUAGAUGGAUCCGCGCUGCAUUAGCUAGUUGGUAAGGUAACGGCUUACCAAGGCAACGAUGCAUAGCCGACCUGAGAGGGUGAUCGGCCACACUGGAACUGAGACACGGUCCAGACUCCUACGGGAGGCAGCAGUAGGGAAUCUUCCGCAAUGGGCGAAAGCCUGACGGAGCAACGCCGCGUGAGUGAUGAAGGUCUUCGGAUCGUAAAACUCUGUUAUUAGGGAAGAACAUAGGUGUAAGUAACUGUGCACAUCUUGACGGUACCUAAUCAGAAAGCCACGGCUAACUACGUG
rnacentral:rRNA from 1 species